rnacentral:lncRNA from 1 species
ACAGCCGUCCCUGAAGUGUUCCGUGAUGAUUUGAAUAGAUGUGGUGCAGAUUAGUUACAAUGUACUUCCGAGUACUUAAGAGUUGUUACUGGCAGUGUCUGUGUUAAUCAUGGUCUGAAUUCACUACUGGCAAAGGAUGCUUGCUCACCACACUGACCCAGGCAGUCUUCGAGUAUGAAUUUUCUAAAGGCAAAUGCAUUUGUGCAGACAGAUAUUUUCUGAAACAACUGGCAAUGAGCCAUUUUUAAUAAAUUUCAGUUCACAUUAGAUCUGUAUGAUCUUGAAGACUUAGAAGAUCAGGAAGCCAUAUUAGCGGGAGCCAAAGUUCACCAAAAUUGGAGGAUUUCUCAGCUGUGCUCUAUGCCAACAAUAUUUUGUGUUUUUACUCUGGUUGGCAGGUUUCAACAUUCUUGUUGUUCUGUGGCUCAGUAGAGUGAGCUCAUUUUUAAUGAUAGUUCUUAGCUCUUAAAGUAAACUUCCAGUAUGGAAGACACUGCUGGGCUAAAGUCUCCAGCAUGGCUGAUUGGUGCCUCAGCCCCUUCUGGGUUCUAAGUCUUCAAAGGAGAAGCCGGUUUCUUUGUAGCUUCACACGAUGAAAAUGAACAUGAUUAAGUUUCCAUAUUUCCUUUUAUUUUACAUUCUGCUUUCAUGACCCAUCUUCAGAGACUGACAUUUCUUUGUUACAUUUCUCAAUCUGAUGUGUCUUACUGCUGAAAUACAUGAAAAGUGCCGUUUUUAAUGCGUUCAGAGGUUUGGGUUUUUUGGGGGGGGGGUAUUACUAUCUGUUGGUUCCUUUUGUUUGUUUUGUUUUGUUUUUUUCCCAUAAAGAUUUGGUUGAUUUUUAACCAGAUAAGAUAGUGGAUACCAUGAACUACAUGUGCCUAGCUAAUUGGCAAAUUUAUUGACCAAUAUACUAAGUGCAGCGCCUUAUUUGAGUACCCUUUUUGAGAAGGUAUGAUGAAAAUGGGCGAGCGUGUCAGCAUCUAAUAAUAAUCGUUUUUGGUUUUGGUUCAUGAAGAAUGCUUAGUUUGUUAACCUGUGAUGUUGCCUAGAGCUGUAUUUAUCUGUUUUUAUUUAUACUAGUAUAGUAAAAGCUGCAUAUCAUUACAGUAAAAACGAUUACUGUGAUGAGUUAAGAUCUAUUAAAAUCUCUACUUAAAU